ACAGUUAAACAAGAAAGUCAGACAUGGUGUCACUAUCAAUCCUGUUUGUAUUUUCUGUAAGGAAUUUCACUGGCGUCUCCCAACUUUGGAUAACUAUCCUCCGAGAAGGUCUUUACGGAUUCUUUUAAGUGUCUUUUCAUUUUUGCUUUUGCUCCAUCACAGUUUCCUCUGCCCCAGCAGCAGAAAGAAAGCUCUAGUUCCACUGGGAUCAACAGUUUCAUCUUAAAGAGAGCUCAACACCAUUGGGCUCCUGGGAAAGCAUCUUGACACACUGAGGCCGGUCAAGUGGUAAGCUAUGCCACAAUGGAGCUCAGCAAAUCAUUGUCUCAUCACAGAGAGAUGGAUUUCAUCCCUGGGCCUUGUGGAUGUGGAGGGGAACCGGGCUGAAUUCAUAUGUCGAGCUCUCUGCGGCUGCCACCGAGCCAGACUCCUCGUCCUCCAUCAUGAAGGAAUGCAAACAGCCGGGGCCCUUUAGCAUUUGUGCAAAUGUCAGAGAAAAGGACAGAUCUCAGGAAUUAACAGCAGCAGAGAUGGAGGAAGCUAAAAAACCUUCUCCAGAAGAAAUAGAUGGACUUGUGGUGCCAGCCGCUGGCUCCUCCACAGAGAGAAAUUUAUCAUAGGAAGCUCAGAGCCCAAGUUAAACAGUCAUGAAGACCAUAAUGACCCAGAGCUGAAUAUUUAGUUCAUAAAGUUAUAGUUCAUAAUGAGCAAAACUUUACGUAUUAACUCUGAAUGUGACUGAUAUUAAUUUAAAUUAUUUUAAAUUCUAGACAUGAUUUGGUUGUGUUUUGUAUCGUUGAUAUAUUUGUUGUCACGGUAAAUACAUAGUCAUAUUAAAAAACGGAACA